rnacentral:lncRNA from 1 species
AUAGAAUUCAGAAAUGGGGGGAGCAGACAGGGUGGUACUAAAGAGCCACCAAGUAACCGGUGGGAAAAUCGGCUCGAAGAGAAGACAUAAAUAAUCAGACCGAAGGCAUGAAAUGCACAGGCUCGUAAGUCAUGGGCAAUGGAGACUUGAAAUGCGGUUAAGUGCUGAGGGACGGUCACACGCGGACUGUUUGGAGGUUAAGUGCUGAGGGACGGUCACCCGCGGACUGUUUGGAGGCUCGCCUGGGCACCUGAGGAGUGGGCAUCGGUGAGGAGAGCGCGCAGCGGAUAACGCCCAUUGUUCACUGCGCCCCUUCUCGGAGGGUCCCCACCUCGAGCUCCUCUACCGCAGGAAGCCGCCCUCCCGCCCGGGCUUCAGGCCGUCUCCCUCGGACGCGCUUACCUGUUACCAGGGAACCACCAGCGCGUUCGAGAGAAGGACCGCGGGCCUCCGGGUCUGCUGCGGACGGCGCUGGAGCUGCGGCGGUGCGCACGGCUCGGUCCGCUCGCUCCCGCUGGCGCCGCGGGGACGAGCGCGCCCGCCCAGCCUCCCCCGCAACGCAGCGCCCCCUAGGGAGCGCGGGAGGACUCCCCGCCCUCCGCACGGCCCGUGGCGCUCCCACCCCCACUCGCGGACUUUCCGGCCCCUCGGCCGCCUGGCUGCCGAGAAUGAGCGGUCUGCCGUUCUCUAGUUCACUGAAUAAAGACUCGGGACCGCGGUGCCGUGGAGGAGCCCCGUUCUCAGCCGAAGGACUCCCGUGCUCACCCGCCCCUCUCCGCGCCACCCGCACAGUGGGUGAAUGAACCUGGCCCGGUUCCCCUCGGGACGGGGCGCAAGGGGCUGAGGCGCUUCUCGCCUCUCCCCCGCCCGGAGCCCUGUCAGGUCCGGGCUUUGGGCUGCACUUUGCCACGCAAUGCCUGGCGCGUGGAGGCCGCGCGAGAUGCCGGGGCCCGGUCUGGGUGCCAGGCCCUCACCCCGGAGCCCCACGCCCCAGUGCACCUGCGGGAGCGGCGGCCCUCGGGGCUGCGAAAGCCCCCUCCCACAGCCCCGCGGAGCCGUGCGCUCGGCCCGGAGCCCGACGGGUGUCGUAAUCGCGUCGCGGCCGUUUCCGCCCUCGGCCAGCCCCACCUCUGCCGGCCCGCCCUCGGCUCCCCCACCGCGAGGAGCGAGCCCGGGAAGCCCACACGGCGGGCACCGGGCGGGAGGCCCCUUCCAGCUCCGGCUGGGCGCCCCGAGGCCCGAGGACAGAAGAGUUCCAGAUUUCAGGAAGAAAACCUUGUACCUGCAUGCCUACCCCCCUUCUCUCUGGCCCUGUUAG